rnacentral:ncRNA from 2 species
AUAAAGUGCUAGGGGUGCCUUUAGGCUGAGAUAUAAAGUUUUGCUUUAUAACCCUUAUACCUGAUCUGGAUAAUACCAGCGUAGGGAAGCAAUUAUUGUAAUAU